rnacentral:rRNA from 1 species
AGUGAACGCUGGCGGUAGGCCUAACACAUGCAAGUCGAACGGCAGCACAGUAAGAGCUUGCUCUUACGGGUGGCGAGUGGCGGACGGGUGAGGAAUACAUCGGAAUCUACUUUUUCGUGGGGGAUAACGUAGGGAAACUUACGCUAAUACCGCAUACGACCUACGGGUGAAAGCAGGGGAUCUUCGGACCUUGCGCGAUUGAAUGAGCCGAUGUCGGAUGAGCUAGUUGGCGGGGUAAAGGCCCACCAAGGCGACGAUCCGUAGCUGGUCUGAGAGGAUGAGCGGCCACACGGGAAGUGAGAAACGGUACAGACUCCGACGGGAGGCAGCAGUAGGGAAUGUGGCGGAAUGAGCGAAAGUAUGACGGAGCAACGGCGCGUGAGUGAGGAAGGUCGUAGGAUCGUAAAACUCUGUUACUAGGGAAGAACAAAUGUGGCAGUAACUAUGCACGUCGUGACGGGACCUAAUCAGAAAGCCACGGCUAACUACGUG